rnacentral:rRNA from 1 species
AGAGUUUGAUCAUGGCUCAGAGCGAACGCUGGCGGCGUGCUUAACACAUGCAAGUCGAACGCGCAGCAUUCUGUAGCAAUACAGGGUGUGGGCGCGUGGCGAACGGGUGCGUAACACGUGGAUAACCUUCCUUGAGGUGGGGAAUAACCCAGUGAAAAUUGGGCUAAUACCGCAUAACAUCGCGAUGGCACAUGCUGAUGCGAUCAAAGGCGCAAGUCGCCACAAGAGGGAUCCGCGGCCGAUUAGCUAGUUGGCGAGGUAAUGGCUCACCAAGGCAAUGAUCGGUAGCCGGACUGAGAGGUUGGCCGGCCACACUGGAACUGAGACACGGUCCAGACUCCUACGGGAGGCAGCAGUGGGGAAUCUUGCACAAUGGACGAAAGUCUGAUGCAGCAACGCCGCGUGGGGGAUGAAGCUUCUCGGAGUGUAAACCCCUUUCGACCCGGAAGAAUAUCCGCAAGGGUAUGACGGUACGGGUAUAAGAAGCCCCGGCUAACUACGUGCCAGCAGCCGCGGUAAUACGUAGGGGGCCAGCGUUGCUCGGAAUUACUGGGCGUAAAGGGUCCGUAGGCGGUGUAGCAAGUCGAUAGUGAAAUCUCUGCGCUUAACGCAGAGGCUGCUAACGAAACUGCUGUGCUCGAGUGUGAGAGAGGCGAGUGGAAUUACGGGUGUAGCGGUGAAAUGCGUAGAUAUCCGUAGGAACAUCCGAGGCGAAGGCGGCUCGCUGGAUCACAACUGACGCUGAGGGACGAAAGCUAGGGGAGCAAACAGGAUUAGAUACCCUGGUAGUCC